UCUGAAAUUAACUCAGUUGGUAGAGCGUCAGACGAUAAAUCGAAAGGACCUAGGUUCGAUACCGGGUUCCGGCA
rnacentral:tRNA from 1 species